rnacentral:rRNA from 1 species
CCUACGGGGUGCAGCAGUGGGGAAUAUUGCACAAUGGGGGAAACCCUGAUGCAGCGACGCCGCGUGAGUGAAGAAGUAUUUCGGUACGUAAAGCUCUAUCAGCAGGGAAGAAAAUGACGGUACCUGACUAAGAAGCCCCGGCUAACUACGUGCCAGCAGCCGCGGUAAUACGUAGUGGGCAAGCGUUAUCCGGAUUUACUGGGUGUAAAGGGAGCGUAGACGGCAGCGCAAGUCUGGAGUGAAAUCCCAUGGCUUAACCAUGGAAGUGCUUUGGAAACUGUGCAGCUAGAGUGCAGGAGAGGUAAGCGGAAUGCCUAGUGUAGCGGUGAAAUGCGUAGAUAUUAGGAGGAACACCAGUGGCGAAGGCGGCUUACUGGACUGUAACUGACGUUGAGGCUCGAAAGCGUGGGGAGCAAACAGGAUUAGAUACCCGAGUAGUC